UCUAGAACUCGAGAUAUAGGCUGAACACUGAACAGUGUCCGGGCUGCAGGACAGAUUCCAACUUCUCCGUUGUUGCUACAAUUUGAACUUGAAAAACAUCCUUUUUGAAUCUUGGACUCUUCAUGAAAGUUUUAGGCCUAUGUCUUAGCUUUCUAUU
rfam:Populus trichocarpa scaffold_7_contig_48, whole genome shotgun sequence.